AUUGAACGCUGGCGGCAUGCCUUACACAUGCAAGUCGAACGGCAGCACGGGAGCAAUCCUGGUGGCGAGUGGCGAACGGGUGAGUAAUAUAUCGGAACGUGCCCAGUCGUGGGGGAUAACGCAGCGAAAGCUGUGCUAAUACCGCAUACGAUCUAAGGAUGAAAGCGGGGGAUCGCAAGACCUCGCGCGAUUGGAGCGGCCGAUAUCAGAUUAGCUAGUUGGUGGGGUAAAGGCCCAGCAAGGCGACGAUCUGUAGCGGGUCUGAGAGGACGACCGGCCACACUGGCACUGAGACACGGUCCAGACUCCUACGGGAGGCAGCAGUGGGGAAUUUUGGACAAUGGGCGCAAGCCUGAUCCAGCAAUGCCGCGUGCAGGAUGAAGGCUUUCGGGUUGUAAACUGCUUCUGUACGGAACGAAACGGCCCUUUCUAAUACAGGGGGCUAAUGACGGUACCGUAAGAAUAAGCACCGGCUAACUACGUGCCAGCCGCCGCCGUAAUAC
rnacentral:rRNA from 1 species